AAAACGAGAUUCAUCUUCAAAUCAAGUCAUGUUUAUUCUUAUUGUUUCAAGGAACAUCCUGCUAUUGUUUUUACCUCCUGAAUUGUCAAGUAUUAAAAUGUAAAAAUACAAAAAUUCACUGAAUUAAGAACUUCCAUAUCGUUUUCUAUUUUACCAGUUUGGAAUCCAUUGAUCACCGAUUGUGUGUAUGUUCUGAUCCAAGAAGCAAAUUUUUCUGUUCAAUCCUUUUCUUGAGGCUUGCAGAAAAACAGAAAUGAGAGGAAGUGGAAGGAUAUAAGGUAGCUUCUGCAGAAUCCAAUAUACUUGGAGUCCACAUCCAAGAUCAAAGCAUCUAGCUCUGUUCACUCAGGUUCUCAGGAGUAUCUCACAAAUGAGUCAUCAUAGGUGAGAGAUGUCUCAUCCAGCCGGACGAUAUUAUUGACCAUUUAAUAGCAGCUGACCAACAGUUUUGGUAAUUAGAGAAGAAGACAAU